rnacentral:rRNA from 1 species
GCAAGUCGAACGAGACCUUCGGGUCUAGUGGCGCACGGGUGCGUAACGCGUGGGAAUCUACCCUUAGGUGCGGAAUAACUCAGAGAAAUUUGAGCUAAUACCGCAUAAUGACUCCGGUCCAAAGAUUUAUCGCCUAAGGAUGAGCCCGCGUAAGAUUAGCUAGUUGGUGAGGUAAAAGCUCACCAAGGCGACGAUCUUUAGCCGACCUGAGAGGGUGAUC